rnacentral:rRNA from 1 species
CUUCGGUCAUAGAUUAAGCCAUGCAAGUGCUAGUUCAGGCAACGAAACUGCGAAUAGCUCAUUAAUACGCUCAGAAUCUACUUGGCAGCGACCUGUAGGCCGUAGAAGGUAUAGCAGCGGUAAUUCUGGUGCUAAUUCACGCAGGUGUUACAUCGGAAGUGAUUUACGAUGUAAAAGUUGACCGUAAUGCGGCAUGCCAAUCGAUUGAGCGACCUAUCAGCUUGUACUUAGGGUCUUGACCUAGGUAGGCUAUAACGGGUAACGGGCGGUUACCGUCGGACUGCCGGAGAAGGCGCCUGAGAGAUAGCAACUAUAUCUACGGAUAGCAGCAGGCGCGAAACUUACCCACUCGAGACAUUCGGAGGUGGUAAUGACCAGUUUCAAGUCAGCUCCUCACGGGGUUGCUUGAAUAGGAUGACACAUUUCUAGUGUGAUGAAACCUAGCAGAGGGCCAGUNUGGUGCCAGCAGCUGCGGUAAUUCCAGCUCUGCAAGUGUGUUCCCAUAUUGUUGCAGUUAAAACGCCCGUAGUCGGAACUACNAAGUCUAUGCGGCCACAAGCUGCAUUCACUGCGAACAAAUCAGGACGCUUAGUGUAAGGCUCACUUGAAUGAUAGAGCGUAGUAUGAUAAUUUCACCAAGAGUAUGGUAAGAUCAAAGAGAGCCACCGGGGGUAGAUCUAUUUCAUGGCGAGCGGUGGAAUGCUAUAACCCAUGAGAGAGAAACGAAGGCGAAAGCAUCUACCUAGAGGGUUUCUGUCGAUCAAGGGCGAGAGUAGGAGUAUCGAACCGGAUUAGAGACCCGGGUAGUUCCUACCUUAAACGAUGCCGACUAGGGCUUAUCCAUAGGGAUGGGUAAGACCUUAGGAGAAAUCAAAGUUCUCGGGCUCUGGGGGAACUACGACCGCAAGGCUGAAACUUGAAGGAAUUGACGGAAGGGCACACCAGGGGUGGAGCUUGUGGCUUAAUUUGAAUCAACACGAGGAAACUUACCAGGACCAGAUGUCAUGUAUGACUGACAGGCUUGGGGUCUUUCAGGAUUUGACUAUUGGUGGUGCAUGGCCGUUGGUGGUGCGUGGGUUGACCUGUCUAGCGUUGNUUCAGAUAACGAGCGAGAUUAUCACCAAUUUAUUACCUUGGACGAAGACCAGGUGUAAGGUUACAAUUGGGACUCCCUGCGUCUAAGCAGGAGGAAGAGGGUAGCAAUAACAGGUCCGUGAUGUCCUUUAGAUGCGCUGGGCUGCACGCGCGCGACAAUGUGAGGAUGCAAAGAGUUACAAGUCUUGACAGGACAAGUUACUCUCUUAAUACCUCGCGUACCUGGGAUUGAUGGUUGUAAUCACCAUCAUGAACCAGGAAUCCCUUGUAAAUGUGUGUCAACAACGCACGUUGAAUACGUUCCUGCCCUUUGUACACACCGCCCGUCGCUCCUACCGAUGGAUGAUUCGGUGAAAUCGCUGGAGAAUACGUUUGAAGGUGAUUAAACCAUGUUAUCUAGAGGAAGGAGAAGUCGUAACAAGGAAGGGCGAAUUCCACAGU